rnacentral:rRNA from 1 species
GUACCGUGAGGGAAAGGUGAAAAGUACCCCGGGAGGGGAGUGAAAUAGUACCUGAAACCGUUGGUUUACAAACAGUCAGAGCGUCGUCACACCUUUGGGUGUGGCCGCGAUGGCGUGCCUUUUGAAGAAUGAGCCUGCGAGUUACGGUGUGUGGCAAGGUUAACCAGAGAUGGGAAGCCGGAGCGAAAGCGAGUCUGAAUAGGGCGUUGAGUCGCAUGCUGUAGACCCGAAGCCAAGUGAUCUAUCCAUGGCCAGGUUGAAGCGGAGGUAAGACUCCGUGGAGGACCGAACCCACGUAAGUUAAAAAUUGCGGGGAUGAGCUGUGGAUAGGGGUGAAAGGCUAAUCAAACUUGGCGAUAGCUGGUUCUCCUCGAAAUGCAUUUAGGUGCAGCGUUGCGUGUUCAGUGCCGGAGGUAGAGCACUGAUUGGACUAGGGGGCCCACAAGCUUACCGAAUCCAGUCAAACUCCGAAUGCCGGUACUCCAGAGCGCAGCAGUGAGACCGCGGGGGAUGAGCUCCGCUGGUCGAAAGGGAAACAGCCCAGACCAUCAGCUAAGGCCCCUAAUUCAGGACUAAGUGGAAAACGAUGUGGGAUUGCAUAGACAGCCAGGAGGUUGGCUUAGAAGCAGCCAUCCUUGAAAGAGUGCGUAAUAGCUCACUGGUCGAGUGAUCCUGCGCGGAUAAUGUAACGGGGCUCAAGUACAGAGCCGAAGUUGUGGAUUCAUACGUAAGUAUGAGUGGUAGCGGAGCGUCGAUCGUGCACUGAAGCAGGCGGGUAACUUUCUGUGGAGCGCGGUCGAGUGAGAAUGUUGGCAUGAGUAGCGAAAGAGGGGUGAGAAACCCCUCCGCCGGAUAUCCAAGGGUUCCUGGGCAAGGCUAAUCCUCCCAGGGUAAGUCGGGAGCUAAGGCGAGGCCGAGAGGCGUAGUCGAUGCACAGCUGGUUGAUAUUCCAGCACCACCGUGCGACCGUCCAUGCUGAAGCAGAGUUGCUAAGGGGAUGUCGGACUUCGUUUAAGAGGUCCGAACGAUCCGACCCACUUUGUGAACGCAAGCAAUGCAGGGACGCAGGAAGAUAGGUGAACCGGGGCGAUGGUUGUCCCCGGGAUUAGGUGUAGGCCGGGGCGUAGGUAAAUCCGCUCCCCAUCAAGGCUGAGGCCCGAUCCGAGACGAAAGUCGGAAGUCACUGAUUCUAUGCUGCCAAGAAAAGCUGCUAGCGAGGUCAAACGGUGCCCGUACCCCAAACCAACUCAGGUGGAUAGGUAGAGAAUACUAAGGCGAUUGGGCGAACUAUGGUUAAGGAACUCGGCAAAUUGCAUCCGUAACUUCGGGAGAAGGAUGACCCCUUAAUCGUGAAGAGAUUUACUCUCCAAGCGUGUCGGGGUGGCACAAACCGGAGGGGAGCGACUGUUUACUAAAAACACAGCAGCGUGCUAAGUCGUAAGACGACGUAUACGCUGUGACGCCUGCCCGGUGCUGGAAGGUUACGGGGAACGGUUAGUCUUCGGACGAAGCUGUGAACCUAAGCCCCAGUAAACGGCGGCCGUAACUAUAACGGUCCUAAGGUAGCGAAAUUCCUUGUCGGGUAAGUUCCGACCUGCACGAA